GGAAUUUCAUGACUUGCAGAACGUAAAAUAAUAUCAAAGUGGAAAAACACCAAGAAAACCGCUUGUUGUAGAAACUCAUGGUUUUGUUAACACAUUCUGUUGCCUAUCCUUUUAAAACUGAUGGGAGUUUGUGGUGGUAAUAAGGAUACAGUUCUAGGGGUUACUGUAGAUAUCAAUCAGCAAAUCAAUACUUGUCUGAACCUUUAACAUCAGAUACAUAGAAGAUGGUAUGGAUAACAUUGGCCCAAGACAUUAAACAUUAAUACUAAAUCACAGGAAUUAAAUUCAGUUUUACAAAGAUUGUUCAUAUGUGUAAG